GGUAAGGUGGCCGAAAUAGGCGGUGGAUUGUAGUCCCAUGGAUAGAGGUUCAAGUCCUCUUCUUACCA
rnacentral:tRNA from 1 species